AUUGAACGCUGGCGGCAGGCCUAACACAUGCAAGUCGAGCGGAUGACGGGAGCUUGCUCCUUGAUUCAGCGGCGGACGGGUGAGUAAUACCUAGGAAUCUGCCUGGUAGUGGGGGACAACGUUUCGAAAGGAACGCUAAUACCGCAUACGUCCUACGGGAGAAAGCAGGGGACCUUCGGGUCUUGCGCUAUCAGAUGAGCCUAGGUCGGAUUAGCUAGUUGGUGGGGUAAUGGCCCACCAAGGCGACGAUCCGUAACUGGUCUGAGAGGAUGAUCAGUCACACUGGAACUGAGACACGGUCCAGACUCCUACGGGAGGCAGCAGUGGGGAAUAUUGGACAAUGGGCGAAAGCCUGAUCCAGCCAUGCCGCGUGUGUGAAGAAGGUCUUCGGAUUGUAAGCACUUUAAGUUGGGAGGAAGGGCAGUAAGCUAAUACCUUGCUGUUUUGGCGUUACCGACAGAAUAAGCACCGGCUAACUCUGUGCCAGCCGCCGCCGUAACAC
rnacentral:rRNA from 1 species